rnacentral:misc_RNA from 1 species
UGGCCAGACCGGCGGCGUGAUUGCGGCGAGUUUGGGGUAACAAUCUGUAAACAAGCGUGAGUGGCGCUCUUUGUUGCAGAGGUUAAGGUUCUCGCACUUGGGGACGAUCCACGGUCGCACCGCCGGCUCAACAGGCGAAACCAGUUCGGUUACAGCGACUUGGGAUGACUAAAACUUUGGGCAAUCGGGAAUGAAAUCGAGUCGGCAGACAACGCUCCGGUCGCAGGUCACCGUGACGGGCAUCGGCGUUCAUUCUGGAUCUCCGGUCAGUGUGACGAUCGGACCAGCCGAAAUCAA